AAUGAACCUCCCUGUUGAGUCUGGAAUUCAUAACACGUUUGAUUAAAACUGAUUAACUGUUGAUGCUCCAUUUGAGUUCCACAUCGAUCCUCAGAAAAUUCUGAUGAUUAGCAAGAUGAAAAAAGGAAAAUCAAAUGAUUUAUUAUUACAUUCAAAUUUUCACCUUAAUCAUCUUGAUGAAAUAAUUAUCAAUUUCCACGGAUUCAAGUUAAUUCCUGUUGGAUUCCUUUCUCAAUUGAUUAAAUCAUUAAUCAUCUGGAUUGCAAUUAAAACUGGAGAUACACAGUUAAUCAAGAUAAAGAUCAAAGUGAAAAUUAACAAGAAAAAGGGAUCAUCAUCAUUACCAACAUAAUUACCAGCUAUUGGAAAGAUAAUUUAAUUUAAAUUCCUGUUAAUUAUAUAACAUAUUAUUGUCAAUAUAAACAAUCCCAGUGAUGAAUUGACACCCAUACAGAAAAGUUUAAUUACUUGAAAAAUAAGAUUAAUGAUGAAAGAAAAAGACAAAAAAAAACAACAAAUCAAUAGAAUUGAUUUAAUUUCAACAAUUUACCUUUGGU